rnacentral:rRNA from 1 species
CGGCAUCAGCUCAAAUUUGAAAUCUGGCUUCUUCGAAGCCUGAGUUGUAAUUUGUAGAGGACGUUUCGGGUACUGCGGCGGCUUAAAUUUCUUGGAACAGAAUGUCAGAGAGGGUGAGAAUCCCGUCUGGAGCCGCGGCUUAACCCAUGUGAAACUCCUUCGAC